rnacentral:rRNA from 1 species
CCUACGGGUGGCUGCAGUGGGGAAUAUUGGACAAUGGGCGAAAGCCUGAUCCAGCCAUGCCGCGUGUGUGAAGAAGGCCUUCGGGUUGUAAAGCACUUUCAGUGGGGAAGAAAGCCUUGGGGCUAAUACCCUCGAGGAAGGACAUCACCCACAGAAGAAGCACCGGCUAACUCCGUGCCAGCAGCCGCGGUAAUACGGAGGGUGCGAGCGUUAAUCGGAAUUACUGGGCGUAAAGCGCGCGUAGGCGGUCUGAUAAGCCGGUUGUGAAAGCCCCGGGCUCAACCUGGGAACGGCAUCCGGAACUGUCAGGCUAGAGUGCAGGAGAGGAAGGUAGAAUUCCCGGUGUAGCGGUGAAAUGCGUAGAGAUCGGGAGGAAUACCAGUGGCGAAGGCGACCUUCUGGACUGACACUGACGCUGAGGUGCGAAAGCGUGGGUAGCAAACAGGAUUAGAUACCCUAGUAGUC